CAACCCACCAGUCACUUCGAGGCGUCACAGUACCCGGGCCUGUUGGAGAGCUGACUUCAGAAACUAGGAAAGCAUCCUUGAGUGAGGAAGGACAGGGCCACCUGGCCAUCUAGCCUUUGUGUAUCUCACUGUUGCAUGUGAUUAUGGAUGGGCCCAGGAUAGCUGUCCAUUCUCUAACCUCAGAAUGACCCAUGCUUGACCCUAGACCUCUGUACUCUAUGUAGCUUUCCCCCCUGCGGGAUGACCUUGGUCUUGGCUGACGGUACCACGUGGUGAUCUCAGAUCCAAACUGGCUUCUGAGCAAGGAGAGGGGUGGCCAUCUGGGAGGAGUGACCAUGGGAAAAUGACUGACCUCAUCCAGCUCCCGCUUCAUAGUGUAGACUGUAGCUGAACGAAUGUAAUCCUAAAACCAUGCCCACAAAGAGGAUUGUAUGAAAGCCUCAUUUUGCAGACAGGGAAACUGAGACCUAAUAUAGACCGCCAAAAGAACCGGGUUGGACCCAGGCACUAUGCUUCCUGAGACGGAGUUCCUGCCUUCUGUUCUAUACUACAGGGAGGGGGGAGAUGGGAGCCAGAGUGAGUGAUGACCAACAUCUCAGUCCCUGCUCUCUGUUACUUGGCUGUGUGUCUUUGACCAAGUGAAUUGAUCUCUCUGAGUCUCAGUUUCUUCAUUAUAAAAUCAUUCUUGAGCUGCAUGGUGUUGGUGCAUGCUUUUAAUCCCAGCACUUGGGAAGCAGAGGUAGGUGGCUCUCAGAGUUCGAGGCCAGCCUGGUCUACAGAGUGAGUCCCAGGACAGUCAGAGCUUCACAGUGAAAUUCUGUCUUGAAUCUGCUUCCAAGGGCUACUUUGAGGGUCAUUUAUGAUAGUGUAGGACGUCUAAGCAAUUCUGAGCCUUUUUAUUCUCAGGGUUGGAGAGAGGAUGGUCAGGUGGCUUAUGAGGUGGUCAAUCAUUCAAAAGAUAGCAGUCCUGAUUCUUAUCUACCCAACACAUAGACUAUGAUCAACUUUUAGGGUCAAAGGGUCAGGGUAAAUUUCAUCCUAUGAGUCACAUGACCCUCAUGUGUUAACUUCCAGGAUGGAGCAUCUCACCAUAUGGAAAUUGGAUGCAGGAGUUACAUCUUAUCAGACACCAUGAGGCCUGCUAGGCUAGACUGAAUUUCACUGUUACCUGCCAGUUGAAGACCCGGCCCAUCUGAGCUGUGUGUGAGCCCCAAAGGGCCCAGCUCUCAGCUUCCUCAAACUGUGACUCACUCCUGCCUGCAGCCAGUUCCCUUGUUUUCGGAGCUUGGUGCUCCUGACCCUGAUUGUUUCCACAUGCAGAUGUUUGAGAACAAGGAGGGAGAAAAGAGAGGCUGGACUGACUAUUCUUUCUAUCCCUAACAGUAGGGCUGAUGGAAUGCCUACUCUUCCUAUGGACUGCAAAAGCUCCAUGUUGUAACUAGAAGAUUUCCAGUCAACGCCUUCACAGCAUACAGAUAUCGACAGCACCGUGUGUGUAGCAACUAGCCGUCACUCGGGGCCAGUGAGGGCAGGAUGGUCGGUCCUGCCAUUCACUGUAGGAGCAACAGAGGAGAAGAAGAGGAAACAGAGGCUGAAAGAGUAAGAGCCUUGGCCAAGGUCACAAUGCUUAGAAGUGGAAGACACAGAAAGCUUCUAGCCCAGAUUCUCUGCCUUCAUAUCCGGUACUAUUUCCGGCAACCCACUCCCUGCCUGGGAACAUCUGCUGGACAGAUCUUAGUGAAUGCCCUGGCAAAAAAAAAUGGCCAGGGCCUCAUUUCCCUGUGUGGCUGGAUGGAGCUGUCUCUGUGGCUGCUGUUAUGAAGUGUCUGUGUGUGCGUGCACGGGCGUGUGCUUGUGUAUGUGUGUAAUCUUUUGUCGGCACCAAUUCCACCCGAAACCAAAAAGAGAAUCACUUCAGUGCCGUCCGCUUUCCUUCCUUUAGUGCUGACAUCUCACCAUAUCAAACGGCCUGUGCUUCAGAGGAGAAUCAUAAUGAAUGACUCAAAAUAACUCCACCGAAGAAACAUAGGUUUGAUUUGAAUCGCAGAGGGAGCGAUUCCUUUUUAGUCCCGCCCCCCCUCCACCGCCCCCACUCUGCACUUCCUGGAGAAGGUUUGCAGAAUCUGCAAGAUCCUUCUAAGUCAAGAACAGCCAGGGCCAAAGGAUUGAUCUGAGCAUCUACAUAACCAUCAUCGAUCCCUGUAAAUCAAGACCACUCCCAAACACCGCCUAAAGCAUGGGAUGCAUGGUGUUUCCGACAUCCUGUUAUCCGAGGCCAGAAAGAAAGGGUAUGGUUUUCCUAUCCUUAUCCUGUCUUGGUGAGCAUCUCGCUAGGGUCGGAGUGGUCCACAUAACCAUGCAAGCCUAUUACAAGUUGAUUCAUUCAUCAUCGUGUUGCCUGUCAAUCAAGACAGCUCUUAAAAGCCAAGAUGCAGAUUGAAUCAAUAUGCCCUGAUCUGAUUAGAUUUCAGUAGAGCUCCAUACAUGGAUCCCCAAGGAAACUGAGGGCCAUGAGGGUAUGUUUCUGUAGAAACCUUACUUGACCCACAUGUUCUACAAGUGAAGCUGAAAUCUCCAGAAAAAACCUAGGCAGGCACAGGCCUCCCCACACGACCAUUCACUUGCAAUGCAGGUCUGCGGGCUUGACAAUGCCUCUGUGGAGCACCCCAGCCAAGUUGUGAAUUGCCCGUUCUCUUUCUGCUUGGAGAAGAGUUCUAUUCAGCCAAGCAGCCAAUGGGAGCUGAGAUGAUUAAUAAAAGCCCGUUUCUUUUAAGUGUCA